rnacentral:rRNA from 1 species
UACGGAGGGUGCAAGCGUUAUCCGGAUUCACUGGGUUUAAAGGGUGCGUAGGCGGGCAGGUAAGUCCGUGGUGAAAUCUCUGAGCUUAACUCAGAAACUGCCAUGGAUACUAUUUGUCUUGAAUAUUGUGGAGGUAAGCGGAAUAUGUCAUGUAGCGGUGAAAUGCUUAGAUAUGACAUAGAACACCAAUUGCGAAGGCAGCUGGCUACACAAAUAUUGACACUGAGGCACGAAAGCGUGGGGAGCAAACAGG